GCAUCCGUAGCUCAGAUGGCCAGAGCGUCGAGGAAUUUCACGCCUCUAAAUGUCGCCGGUUCGAGUCCGGUCGGAUGCA
rnacentral:tRNA from 1 species